rnacentral:tRNA from 1 species
GCCUGGCUGGCUCAGUUGGUGGAGCAUGCGAUUCUUAAUCUCAGGGUUGUGAGUUCGAGCCCCAAGUUGGGCC